UACGAAGGACCCAAGCGUUAUCCGGAUUCAUUGGGUUUAAAGGGUGCGUAGGCGGAAUAGUAAGUCAGUGGUGAAAGCCUGUUGCUUAACAACAGAACUGCCAUUGAUACUGCUAAUCUUGAGUACAUUUGAUGUGGGCGGAAUGUGCCAUGUAGCGGUGAAAUGCUUAGAUAUGGCACAGAACACCGAUCGCGAAGGCAGUUCACAAAACUGUAACUGACGCUGAGGCACGAAAGCGUGGGGAUCAAACAGG
rnacentral:rRNA from 1 species